rnacentral:rRNA from 1 species
GCGUAAAAGCCCGACUUCUGGAAGGGCUGUAUUUAUUAGAUAAGAACCAACGGCUUCGGCCUUUUUGGUGAUUCAUAAUAACUUCUCGAAUCGUAUGGCCUUGUGCCGACGAUGGUUCAUUCAAAUUUCUUCCCUAUCGACUUUCGAUGUUUGGGUAUUGGCCAAACAUGGUUGCAACGGGUAACGGAGGGUUAGGGCUCGACCCCGGAGAAGGAGCCUGAGAAACGGCUACUUCAUCCAAGGAAGGCAGCAGGCGCGCAAAUUACCCAAUCCCGACUCGGGGAGGUAGUGACAAUAAAUACUGAUACAGGGCCCUUUCGGGCCUUGUAAUUGGAAUGAGUACAAUUUAAAUCCCUUAACGAGGAACAAUUGGAGGGCAAGUCUGGUGCCAGCAGCCGCGGUAAUUCCAGCUCCAAUAGCGUAUAUUAAAGUUGUUGUGGUUAAAAAGCUCGUAGUUGAACCUUGGGCCUGGCUGGCCGGUCCGCCUCACCGCGUGCACUGGUCCGGCCGGGCCUUUCCCUCUGUGGAACCCCAUACCCUUCACUGGGCGUGGCGGGGAAACAGGACAUUUACUUU